UUCACCUACGGGGGGCAGCAGUGAGGAAUAUUGGUCAAUGGGCGGAAGCCUGAACCAGCCAAGUCGCGUGAAGGAAGAAGGCUUUCGGGUUGUAAACUUCUUUUCUUGGGGACGAAGAAAGUGACGGUACCCAAGGAAUAAGCCACGGCUAACUACGUGCCAGCAGCCGCGGUAAUACGUAGGUGGCAAGCGUUAUCCGGAUUUAUUGGGUGUAAAGGGCGUGUAGGCGGGAAUGCAAGUCAGAUGUGAAAACUAUGGGCUCAACCCAUAGCCUGCAUUUGAAACUGUAUUUCUUGAGUGCUGGG
rnacentral:rRNA from 1 species